rnacentral:rRNA from 1 species
UGAGUAACGCGUAGAUAAUCUACCCUGAUGUCCGGGAUAACCGGCCGAAAGGCUGACUAAUACCGGGUAGAUGUAUAUCUGCAGGGGUAUACAGGAAAGGUGGCCUCUUCAUGAAAGCUAUCGCAUGGGGAUGAGUCUGCGUACCAUUAGCUUGUUGGUGAGGUAAAGGCUCACCAAGGCGACGAUGGUUAGCGGGUCUGAGAGGAUGAUCCGCCACACUGGCACUGGAACACGGGCCAGACUCCUACGGGAGGCAGCAGUGAGGAAUAUUGCGCAAUGGGGGCAACCCUGACGCAGCGACGCCGCGUGAGUGAGGAAGGCCUUCGGGUCGUAAAGCUCUGUCAGCAGGGAAGAAGUGCACGGUGGUGAACAGCCGCUGUGUUUGACGGUACCUGCAGAGGAAGCACCGGCUAACUCCGUGCCAGCAGCCGCGGUAAUACGGAGGGUGCGAGCGUUGUUCGGAAUCACUGGGCGUAAAGGGCGCGCAGGCGGCGUGAUAAGUCAGAUGUGAAAGUCCAGGGCUUAACCGUGGAAGUGCAUUUGAAACUGUCAUGCUUGAGUACCAGAGGGGAAGGUGGAAUUCCCGGUGUAGAGGUGAAAUUCGUAGAUAUCGGGAGGAAUACCGGUGGCGAAGGCGACUUUCUGGCUGGAUACUGACGCUGAGGCGCGAAAGCGUGGGGAGCAAACAGGAUUAGAUACCCUGGUAGUCCACGCCGUAAACGAUGUGCACUAGACGUCGGAGGUAUUGAUCCCUUCGGUGUCGGAGCCAACGCAUUAAGUGCACCGCCUGGGGAGUACG